rnacentral:tRNA from 1 species
GGGCGAUUGGCGCAGUGGGAGCGCGCUUCCUUGACACGGAAGAGGUCACUGGUUCGAACCCAGUAUCGCCCACCG